UACGAAGGGGUGCAACGUUGCUCGGAAUCAUGGUGCGUAAAGCGCACGUAGGCGGAUUGUUAAGUCAGGGGUGAAAUCCUGGAGCUCAACUCCAGAACUGCCUUUGAUACUGGCGAUCUCGAGUCCGGGAGAGGUGAGUGGAACUGCGAGUGUAGAGGUGAAAUUCGUAGAUAUUCGCAAGAACACCAGUGGCGAAGGCGGCUCACUGGCCCGGUACUGACGCUGAGGUGCGAAAGCGUGGGGAGCGAACAGG
rnacentral:rRNA from 1 species